CCUACGGGAGGCAGCAGUGGGGAAUUUUGGACAAUGGGCGCAAGCCUGAUCCAGCAAUGCCGCGUGAGUGAAGAAGGCCUUCGGGUUGUAAAGCUCUUUUGUCAGGGAAGAAACGGUCUACUCUAAUACAGUGGGCUAAUGACGGUACCUGAAGAAUAAGCACCGGCUAACUACGUGCCAGCAGCCGCGGUAAUACGUAGGGUGCAAGCGUUAAUCGGAAUUACUGGGCGUAAAGCGUGCGCAGGCGGUUAUAUAAGUCAGAUGUGAAAUCCCCGGGCUCAACCUGGGAACUGCAUUUGAGACUGUAUGGCUAGAGUGUGUCAGAGGGGGGUAGAAUUCCACGUGUAGCAGUGAAAUGCGUAGAUAUGUGGAGGAAUACCGAUGGCGAAGGCAGCCCCCUGGGAUAACACUGACGCUCAUGCACGAAAGCGUGGGGAGCAAACAGGAUUAGAUACCCUGGUAGUCCACGCCCUAAACGAUGUCUACUAGUUGUCGGGACUUAAUUGUCUUGGUAACGCAGCUAACGCGUGAAGUAGACCGCCUGGGGAUACGGUCGCAAGNUUAAAACNCAAAGGAUUGACGG
rnacentral:rRNA from 1 species